UGAAUUGAAGUGUAAGGCUCACUAUAUGAUUUUGACUCAUACCAACAAAGGUUCAACUCCUUUCUUUUCAA
rnacentral:tRNA from 1 species